rnacentral:rRNA from 1 species
GGGCCUCUCGCGUCAGGAUAUGCCCAGGUGGGAUUAGCUAGUUGGUGAGGUAAUGGCUCACCAAGGCGACGAUCCCUAGCUGGUCUGAGAGGAUGAUCAGCCACACUGGAACUGAGACACGGUCCAGACUCCUACGGGAGGCAGCAGUGGGGAAUAUUGCACAAUGGGCGCAAGCCUGAUGCAGCCAUGCCGCGUGUAUGAAGAAGGCCUUCGGGUUGUAAAGUACUUUCAGUCGUGAGGAAGGGGGUAUCGUUAAUAGCGGUAUUCUUUGACGUUAGCGACAGAAGAAGCACCGGCUAACUCCGUGCCAGCAGCCGCGGUAAUACGGAGGGUGCGAGCGUUAAUCGGAAUUACUGGGCGUAAAGCGCAUGCAGGUGGUUUGUUAAGUCAGAUGUGAAAGCCCGGGGCUCAACCUCGGAGUUGCAUUUGAAACUGGCAGGCUAGAGUACUGUAGAGGGGGGUAGAAUUUCAGGUGUAGCGGUGAAAUGCGUAGAGAUCUGAAGGAAUACCGGUGGCGAAGGCGGCCCCCUGGACAGAUACUGACACUCAGAUGCGAAAGCGUGGGGAGCAAACAGGAUUAGAUACCCUGGUAGUCCACGCUGUAAACGAUGUCUACUUGGAGGUUGUGGCCUUGAGCCGUGGCUUUCGGAGCUAACGCGUUAAGUAGACCGCCUGGGGAGUACGGUCGCAAGAUUAAAACUCAAAUGAAUUGACGGGGGCCCGCACAAGCGGUGGAGCAUGUGGUUUAAUUCGAUGCAACGCGAAGAACCUUACCUACUCUUGACAUCUACAGGAUCCUGCGGAGACGCGGGAGUGCCUUCGGGAACUGUAAGACAGGUGCUGCAUGGCUGUCGUCAGCUCGUGUUGUGAAAUGUUGGGUUAAGUCCCGCAACGAGCGCAACCCUUAUCCUUGUUUGCCAGCGAGUAAUGUCGGGAACUCCAGGGAGACUGCCGGUGAUAAACCGGAGGAAGGUGGGGACGACGUCAAGUCAUCAUGGCCCUUACGAGUAGGGCUACACACGUGCUACAAUGGCGCAUACAGAGGGCGGCGAGCUAGCGAUAGUGAGCGAAUCCCAAAAAGUGCGUCGUAGUCCGGAUUGGAGUCUGCAACUCGACUCCAUGAAGUCGGAAUCGCUAGUAAUCGUGGAUCAGAAUGCCACGGUGAAUACGUUCCCGGGCCUUGUACACACCGCCCGUCACACCAUGGGAGUGGGCUGCAAAAGAAGCAGGUAGUUUAACCUUCGGG